AGCUCGGUGGUCGAGUGGUAAGACGUCUGCACUAGAAGCAGGAGGUCGUGGGUUCGAGUCCCACCCGAGUGA
rnacentral:tRNA from 1 species